CUGAUAUUGACGGUAAAUAAAAACGACCAUGCAUUGACAUUGCGAGAAAAAGUGAAGUUUUAUCUUGUUGUGGAGAAGUUACUGCAUAAAUACGAAAUGGCCAAAGAGAAGAUAAAGAUGUUGAUGGUUGCUUUAAGGAGUACGGCAGGAACAGGCCACAAGAUUAUUCGAAUGCGACCCAAACAAGAAGGGAAAAUGGAAUGUCUAGCCAAAGACCCAUUAGUUCAAGAGACUGUUUUGUAUAAGGAAAUAAAGAAAGUGAAGACCAUGUGAUAGAAGUAUCAACUCUGUGAUCAACUAAGAGCAAAGAUCUUCUACAGACCUUUGGAAAUAUGGUUCUACAUAAAUGAUGAUCUUUCAAACUGAAUGUGUGUAUGUAUGUGCUAAAUUAAAUUCAGAAUUUUACCAUGCCUUGAAGGCAUUUAACUUGUGUGUUAAUUUCGAACACUGUUGAUAAUGAAUCAAAAAUUAUUUCAACAAUGAUCCUAAUUAUUAUGAAAAUAACUGUCAACAUCAUCAUCAUACUGUAACUGAAAUACAAAGUAAUGGUUAACUGUUAUGUUUACAUCAUAAAACUAUUUCUAUGCUCAUAAAAAAAUAUGGAGAAAGUUUAUUUUUAUUUAGUAUAAGAAACAAAGCUUGUUCAAUGUUUUCAAAUAUAUUGUACAGGCCAUUUGCAGUGAUAGUAAUGUCAGUUCUCCUACAAUGUGUACAUGUGUUUGUGAUAUUUUUUGUUCUGAUUUGUUAAAAUGCAAAAAUAAAAUGAUAAAACUCA